GUUGACCUCGAAUCAGGUAGGAAUACCCGCUGAACUUAAGCAUAUCAAUAAGCGGAGGAAAAGAAACCAACAGGGAUUGCCUUAGUAACGGCGAGUGAAGCGGCAACAGCUCAAAUUUGAAAUCUGGCUCUCGGGCCCGAGUUGUAAUUUGUAGAGGAUGCUUUUGGUGAGGUGCCUUCCGAGUUCCCUGGAACGGGACGCCACAGAGGGUGAGAGCCCCGUCUGGUUGGACACCGAUCCUCUGUAAAGCUCCUUCGACGAGUCGAGUAGUUUGGGAAUGCUGCUCUAAAUGGGAGGUAUAUGUCUUCUAAAGCUAAAUACCGGCCAGAGACCGAUAGCGCACAAGUAGAGUGAUCGAAAGAUGAAAAGAACUUUGAAAAGAGAGUUAAAAAGUACGUGAAAUUGUUGAAAGGGAAGCGCUUGUGACCAGACUUGGGCUUGGUUGAUCAUCCAGGGUUCUCCCUGGUGCACUCUUCCGGCCCAGGCCAGCAUCAGUUCGCCCCGGGGGA
rnacentral:rRNA from 1 species